AUCUAGCUGACGAGUCCCAAAUAGGACGAAACGCGUGUCCUGGAU
rfam:Schistosoma mansoni strain Puerto Rico chromosome W, complete genome